UAUCAAUCCACAUGAUAUCAGAAUUGCGCGGGCGUUAGAAGAAUAGCAAGAGUUGGUCAUGUGGAUGACUAAACGGGAAAGGAAAUAUGUCCGGGGCUGUUGGAACUGCGCUGUUAAUUCAAUUCCAAGCGAAAGCACUGCUGCGUUUUUAGCUUAGGUUAUUUGAGCUUAGUUUAGUUUUGCUUAGUUUAGCUUAGCUUAGCUUAGUUUAAGACAAGCGCAGGACUCACAGGCGGACCCAAUGAACUCAUUACUUUUAUUAUGUUUAUUGUCGGGGCAGAGCAACAAGUCAAGGAGGCAGGAACCAAAGGCAGUCAGAGAGACCAAACCAAGGCGUACUGACGAGGUGAAGACUGGCAGGUGUGCAGGUGAGACAGGUGCAAUGAUUGGGGAGACGCCCAGCCCACACCGAAUUAAGGAAAAGGAAACCAAAAAAAAAAAAACAAAAAACAGAACAGAGGAGAGGCAGGCGCAGUGGACAGACACAAUGGAUUCUAACACUGUACCGUCUUUGCAAAUGACGGUUGAACGUCAUGCCAUUCCUUCAUUAUCGUAACGGCUAAGCGGAUUUUUGCGCUUUGGUUAAGGUUAACCUCAGCGAUGUUGUGUUUAGUGCUUCAAAAUAUGGACCAGGCUAAAUCGAUGAACCAAUUAGAAAUGAAACCACACAAUCUCAUUCUGGGAACCGAAGGGACUAUUUCAAAGAACGUAAUUAGGGUCAGUGUGUCCCUUGAGCCAAUUUCCACUGGACAAGAGGCUAUAUCACCUGUCCUGCCCUCUCCUGUCCUGUCUACUCAUCAAAUAUUGAGGCUGAGCACAGAGUGAAAUGUGCAUUUACCGUUGACGAAGACGUAUAUGGACGCCUGCUCGCCGCUCGUCCUCUCCAGGCAAACGUAGCGGCCC